AAAAGGCACUGAAGAUGGUGGAGUGAAUGGCGGCAGUGGAGUGGUUGCACUGGUUAUGGAAGACCUAAUCUGAUUUCUUGUAUUUGGGUUUCGGAAUAUGCUAUUUUUUACUCCGAUGAUGAUACACUCUCUAAGGAAAUUUACAGUCAAUUCAAGCAACUAGUUUGUUGUAGGUUUUUAGAGAGGUCUAUCAACUGGAUUCAUGGCUUUGGGGUUUCAAGGGAGAAACUGUUGUCGUUUGGUUUUUUC
rnacentral:lncRNA from 1 species